GGAGAGAUGGGUGAGUGGCUGAAACCACCGGUUUGCUAAACCGACGAACCUGAUUAGGGUUCCACGAGUUCGAAUCUCGUUCUCUCCGCCA
rnacentral:tRNA from 1 species